GACGAACGCUGGCGGCGUGCCUAACACAUGCAAGUCGAACGGAGUACCUUCGGGUACUUAGUGGCGAACGGGUGAGUAACGCGUGAGAAACCUGCCUUUCAGUGGGGGACAACAGUUGGAAACGACUGCUAAUACCGCAUAAUGUUAUUUGGGGGCAUCCCUGGAUAACCAAAGCUUUAUGUGCUGAAAGAUGGUCUCGCGUCUGAUUAGCUAGAUGGCGGGGUAACGGCCCACCAUGGCGACGAUCAGUAGCCGGUCUGAGAGGAUGAACGGCCACAUUGGGACUGAGAUACGGCCCAGACUCCUACGGGAGGCAGCAGUGGGGAAUAUUGGGCAAUGGGGGGAAACCCUGACCCAGCAACGCCGCGUGAAGGAAGAAGGCCUUCGGGUUGGUAAACUUCUUUACCAGGACGAACACAAUGACGGUACCUGGAGAAAAAGCAACGGCUAACUACGUG
rnacentral:rRNA from 1 species